rnacentral:lncRNA from 1 species
GAAUUUUUCAGAAACAUGCAGAUGGUAAGAAGAUGCAUAUCUCCAGUUUAAUGAAGCUCGGUUCAGGGAUCAACCAUAUUGAACCGGUCGGUUUACCUCCCCUGAUGGAUUCUUCUCCAUACCUCAAGAGCGGAGGAGGAGACACUUUCGCCGGGUCGUUGUCUCACGUGACAUGCUUCUCCGACCAAACAACCGAGGACAAGAGUCACCUCUCCGAGUCAAGAGAUGAAUGUAACUUUACCAUGUUUGGUUCUUCAUCGACUCACUUGAUGAUACCGAACAUUGGUUCUAUACUACACUCUGAUCCUAUGAUUAUGCAAGAUAAUUCUCCAAUAUUGAAGAUAAUGCUUGACAGUGAAGAAACACAGUUUAAGAAAGAUCUCCAGGAUUUCAGUACAUCGGAGAACGAAUUAACCGCGAGUUCUUGGCACGGUCACGAUAUUUCUGGUUCAGCUUCCUCUUCUUUCACAUCAAGAACUCUUUCUCUAUCUUCUUGUUUCAUCUUCAACACCAAUAACGAGUAGCUUCACCUUUGAUAAUUUCUGAAGGAAAUGGAUGGCGAGGUAUCAAGAACCUGGGAGAUAACAGAAGAUUCGGAGCAGAUUGAUUUGCCACCUGGCUUUAGAUUUCACCCAACAGAUGAAGAACUCAUAAGUUACUAUCUGAGACCAAAGGUUCUAAACACCUUCUUCUCCGCUAUAGCCAUUGGUGAAGUUGAUCUCAAUAAGGUUGAACCAUGGGACUUACCAUGUAAGUUUAGCUCUUUUUUUACUUUCUGUAUAUUUCUAUGUUUUUUUUCGUUUAAUCAUUGUUUUCAUGGUGGAACAGGGAAGGCUAAGAUUGGGGAAAAAGAGUGGUACUUCUUCUGCGUAAGAGAUCGGAAAUACCCGACUGGUUUAAGGACGAACCGGGCUACUAAGGCCGGUUAUUGGAAAGCUACAGGCAAAGACAAAGAGAUCUUCAAAGAAAAAUGUAUUGUUGGUAUGAAGAAAACUUUGGUUUUCUACAAAGGAAGAGCUCCUAAAGGAGUAAAAACCAAUUGGGUCAUGCACGAAUAUCGCUUAGAAGGCAAAUAUGCAAUCGACAAUAAUCCUAAAACUGCUAAGGUAAGGUAACAAUGUAAUAACAGUUACAAAAAAAAAAGAAAAAAAAAGAAGAAGGUAACAAUGUAAUAGUUACAGUAACUGACCUUUGAUACACAUCACACUUGUUGCUCAAGUGACACGCUAUCUUACAUAAUAGUUUGUUACGUAUGUUACAUGCAAAAACAUCUCUUAUUUAUGGUUUUGUCACCAUAUUACAAAUUUAAACGUUAUAUUGCAUACUUGUGUGUAAUUUUUUUUUCUUUUGUUGUGAAGUUGGAUUUGAUAUAUGAAUGUGUUGUUGUUUGUGAAUGCAGAACGAAUGGGUUAUUAGUAGAAUUUUUCAGAAACAUGCAGAUGGUAAGAAGAUGCAUAUCUCCAGUUUAAUGAAGCUCGGUUCAGGGAUCAACCAUAUUGAACCGGUCGGUUUACCUCCCCUGAUGGAUUCUUCUCCAUACCUCAAGAGCGGAGGAGGAGACACUUUCGCCGGGUCGUUGUCUCACGUGACAUGCUUCUCCGACCAAACAACCGAGGACAAGAGUCACCUCUCCGAGUCAAGAGAUGAAUGUAACUUUACCAUGUUUGGUUCUUCAUCGACUCACUUGAUGAUACCGAACAUUGGUUCUAUACUACACUCUGAUCCUAUGAUUAUGCAAGAUAAUUCUCCAA